rnacentral:rRNA from 1 species
GUCAGCUCGUGUCGUGAGAUGUGGGUUAAGUCCCGCAACGAGCGCAACCCUCGACCUUAGUUGCCAGCAUUCAGUUGGGCACUCUAAGGUGACUGCCGGCUAAAAGUCGGAGGAAGGUGGGGAUGACGUCAAAUCAUCAUGCCCCUUAUGACCUGGGCUACACACGUGCUACAAUGGGCGGUACAAAGGGUCGCGAACCCGCGAGGGGGAGCCAAUCCCAAAAAGCCGCUCUCAGUUCGGAUUGCAGGCUGCAACUCGCCUGCAUGAAGCCGGAAUCGCUAGUAAUCGCGGAUCAGCAUGCCGCGGUGAAUACGUUCCCGGGCCUU